rnacentral:rRNA from 1 species
GUUAGGAAUAUUGGACAAUGGGCGAAAGCCUGAUCCAGCCAUGCCGCGUGAACGAUGAAGGCCUUCGGGUUGUAAAGUUCUUUAGCCGAUGAUUAUAAUGACUGUAGUCGGAAAAUAAGCCCCGGCUAACUUCGUGCCAGCAGCCGCGGUAAUACGAAGGGGGCGAGCGUUAUUCGGAAUCACUGGGCGUAAAGCGUGCGUAGGCGGUUUUGUAAGUUAGGAGUGAAAGCCCAGGGCUCAACCUUGGAAUUGCUCUUAAAACUGCAAGGCUCGAAUCUCGGAGAAGAUAGCAGAAUUUCCAGUGUAGCAGUGAAAUGCGUAGAUAUUGGAAGGAACACCAGUGGCGUAAGCGGCUAUCUGGACGAGUAUUGACGCUGAGGCACGAAAGCGUGGGGAUCAAACAGGAUUAGAAACCCGGGUAGUCC